GACGAACGCUGGCGGCGUGCUUAACACAUGCAAGUCGAACGGAAAGGCCCUGCUUUUGUGGGGUGCUCGAGUGGCGAACGGGUGAGUAACACGUGAGUAACCUGCCCUUGACUUUGGGAUAACUUCACGAAACUGGGGCUAAUACCGGGUAGGAGCUCCUGCUGCAUGGUGGGGGUUGGAAAGUUUCGGCGGUUGGGGAUGGACUCGCGGCUUAUCAGCUUGUUGGUGGGGUAGUGGCUUACCAAGGCUUUGACGGGUAGCCGGCCUGAGAGGGUGACCGGCCACAUUGGGACUGAGAUACGGCCCAGACUCCUACGGGAGGCAGCAGUGGGGAAUAUUGCACAAUGGGCGGAAGCCUGAUGCAGCAACGCCGCGUGCGGGAUGACGGCCUUCGGGUUGUAAACCGCUUUCGCCUGUGACGAAGCGUGAGUGACGGUAAUGGGUAAAGAAGCACCGGCUAACUACGUG
rnacentral:rRNA from 1 species